UCUUCUUUAUCUCUCGCACAAAGUCUCUUUCUCGGCAAACUGUCUCUCAAAACUCUUGGCCAAAAUUUUGCUUUCCCGCAGAGUUUUUCCUGUUGAAUCUCUCCGCAAUCAAACUACCCUUACUUUCCCAUUGAAGGUUUAGGUUCGUCAAAACCAGAAAAUGGAACAACAUGACAUUGAAGAGGACGAGUUCGGAUUCUCCAGAAAUUAUUUCUUAGCAAACGAAUUAGGCAAUUCCGGUAAGAAAUCCAGCCGCAUGCUCGCAGAUAUCGAUGUCGUCGAUGAACAGGAGCUAAGGGAAGCCCUCGCCCAUCUCCCCAACAUUUCUAAUUUCCAAAUUGGUGUCCGACGAAAAUUAGGGCUCUGAGUCUGAGAGAGACCUUAGAUUUGGGGCAGUUAUUCUUUCUUCGAUUUUAACGAUCAGCAGCAAAUGUCGCCUCCUCCUGGACCCUACUCCGGCACCAGCACUCUCGCCUUAGUGGCUCGUGCUUCAGCCUUCAUGUUUGGAGUCGUCUAUGGAAAUCUGAAACUUAAGUAUCUUAAGAUCACUGGAUACACUUUUCUUCAUCCCUUCAAUUUCUCGGCUGUUUUCUCUUCUUCUGAAGGAUUGGCACUAACCUCUACUAAAGCAUAGCCGGACUGCUCCACCUAGAGAUGGCUGAAGGAAGUGGAAAUGAGGAGACAACUCUUGAGCAUACAUCAACAUGGGCAGUGGUAGUUGUUUGUUUCAUCUUGAUUGCUGUUUCCAUACUUAUUGAACAUGGUCUUCAUCUUCUGGCUAAGCAAGAAGUAAUUUUGCAUGCCAGUGCCAUGCAUUGUUGACUAACUUGUCGCAUUCAGUGUUUGGACAAGUGGGAGUAUAUUGGCGGCACUUGGUUCCUUUCAGCAAAUGUGGUUUUCAAAAUCUGAGUUUGAGGAACAUGGAACUUCUUAUGUUCAAAGAAAAUGCCCGUAAAGUACUUUACUGGUGCAAACAAUUAUCACAUUAGACAGAAAUUCAUGGAGCUGACUUCACUUUGAUUAGUUUGCUGACGGUAUGGGUUGCUCGGUUUUAAUAUCCUGCUUUAUAGGAGCCCAAACAAUGUACUAUAUAUAUACUAUACCUCUCGCGGAUCGUUGCUAAUAUUGUACAAUUACGUUACCUGACUUUUAGCAUUUCUUUCAACUUGUUAGGGAUGAGAGUCUUUUUGUUUGUGCACAAGAAAGUCUUUCAAGUUAUUGUAAAUGAGAAUCUUUCGGUACUUUAUUGGGAUUUUAGUACUUGCUUUGAGCACUUGUUUGCGAUUUUAGUAA